rnacentral:rRNA from 1 species
GAUCAUGGCUCAGGAUGAACGCUAGCUACAGGCUUAACACAUGCAAGUCGAGGGGCAGCAUGGAGUUUGCUUGCAAACUCUGAUGGCGACCGGCGCACGGGUGAGUAACGCGUAUCCAACCUUCCCUAUACUAGAGGAUAGCCCGGCGAAAGUCGGAUUAAUACUCUAUGUUGUAUUUAGAGGACAUCUGAAGAAUACCAAAGGUUUACCGGUAUAGGAUGGGGAUGCGUCUGAUUAGGUUGUUGGUGGGGUAACGGCCCACCAAGCCUUCGAUCAGUAGGGGUUCUGAGAGGAAGGUCCCCCACAUUGGAACUGAGACACGGUCCAAACUCCUACGGGAGGCAGCAGUGAGGAAUAUUGGUCAAUGGGCGAGAGCCUGAGCCAGCCAAGUAGCGUGCAGGACGACGGCCCUAUGGGUUGUAAACUGCUUUUAUGCGGGGAUAAAGUUCACUACGUGUAGUGUUUUGUAGGUACCGCAUGAAUAAGGACCGGCUAAUUCCGUGCCAGCAGCUGC